GAGCUGAACUUAGCCCAACAUAAUUACAAUUAAACAUUCAACAUAAACUAAAACAAAACAUUUAUCAUCCAUAAAAGUAUAGGAGAUAGAAAUUCUAACUUGGCGCUAUAGAGAUAGUACCGUAAGGGAAUAAUGAAAGAAUUAUCCAAAGCAACAAACAGCAAAGAUUACCCCUUGUACCUUUUGCAUAAUGAUUUAACCAGAAACAGUCUAGCAAAGAGAACUUAAGUUAGCUACCCCGAAACCAGACGAGCUAUCCAUGAGCAGCCCUACAGAGCAAACUCAUCUAUGUGGCAAAAUAGUGAAAAGACUUAUGGAUAGAGGUGAUAAGCCUAUCGAGCCUGGUGAUAGCUGGUUAUCCAGAAAAGAACUUUAGUUCAAACUUAAACUUACCUAAAACCCACUACAAUUCCACUGUAAGUUUAAGUAAUAGUCUAAAAGGGGACAGCCUUUUAGACACAGGCCACAACCUUAACUAGUGAGUAAAUAAUAAAACAUACCAUAGUGGGCCUAAAAGCAGCCACCAAUAAAGAAAGCGUUCAAGCUCAACAAUACCAUAUUAUCUUAAUACCCAAAAUAACUAUUAACUCCUAGCAUAAAACUGGAUCACUCUAUAUCUAUAUAGAAGAAAUAAUGUUAAUAUGAGUAACAAGAAAUAACUUUCUCCUACGCACAAGUGUAUAUCAGAACGGAUACCCACUGAUAGUUAACACAACUAAAGAAAAUCUAAUAACAAGCUCUUUACACACCAAAUGUUAACCCAACACAGGAGUGCUUACAAGGAAAGAUUAAAAAGAGCAAAAGGAACUCGGCAAACAUAAACCCCGCCUGUUUACCAAAAACAUCACCUCCAGCAUGCAUAGUAUUGGAGGCACUGCCUGCCCAGUGACUUAAACGUUCAACGGCCGCGGUAUCCUGACCGUGCAAAGGUAGCAUAAUCACUUGUUCUCUAAAUAAGGACUUGUAUGAAUGGCCACACGAGGGUUUUACUGUCUCUUGCUCUCAAUCAGUGAAAUUGACCCCCCCGUGAAGAGGCGGGGAUACCCCAAUAAGACGAGAAGACCCUAUGGAGCUUUAAUUAAUUAAUCCAAAUCCACUUGUCUAAAACCAAAAGGAAUAACAACUAACUUUAAGAUGGGUUAAUAAUUUAGGUUGGGGUGACCUCGGAGCAUAACAAAACCUCCGAGUGAUUCAAAUCUAGACUUACUAGUCAAAACCAAAUCACAUAUUGAUCCAAUACAUUUGAUCAACGAAACAAGUUACCCUAGGGAUAACAGCGCAAUCCUAUUUAAGAGUCCCUAUCGACAAUAGGGUUUACGACCUCGAUGUUGGAUCAGGACAUCCCAAUGGUGCAGCCGCUAUUAAUGGUUCGUUUGUUCAACGAUUAAAGUCCUACGUGAUCUGAGUUCAGACCGGAGCAAUCCAGGUCGGUUUCUAUCUAUUUUAUGUCUCUCCCAGUACGAAAGGACAAGAGAGACGAGGCCUACCUAACCAUAGGCGCCUUCAAGCAACAAACAGAUGAUAUAAUCUUAAUCUGAUCUAUCAUAAUUAUCGACCCCCUAGACCCAGGGUU
rnacentral:rRNA from 1 species